AUUAUUCGUCUUUUUCUUUUUAUAUUUUUAGAUUCAUUUCUAUUCCUUUUGCUACUCCUCCAAUUACCCUUCCGUCUCUGCUUUUAUUAGAUCCUAAUAAAAGAGAGAGAGAAGG
rnacentral:ribozyme from 1 species